rnacentral:rRNA from 1 species
CCUACGGGAGGCAGCAGUGGGGAAUUUUGGACAAUGGGGGCAACCCUGAUCCAGCAAUGCCGCGUGAGUGAAGAAGGCCUUCGGGUUGUAAAGCUCUUUUGUCAGGGAAGAAACGGUCCGGGCUAAUAUCCUGGGCUAAUGACGGUACCUGAAGAAUAAGCACCGGCUAACUACGUGCCAGCAGCCGCGGUAAUACGUAGGGUGCGAGCGUUAAUCGGAAUUACUGGGCGUAAAGCGUGCGCAGGCGGUUGUGCAAGACAGAUGUGAAAUCCCCGGGCUCAACCUGGGAAUUGCAUUUGUGACUGCACGGCUAGAGUGUGUCAGAGGGGGGUAGAAUUCCACGUGUAGCAGUGAAAUGCGUAGAGAUGUGGAGGAAUACCGAUGGCGAAGGCAGCCCCCUGGGAUAACACUGACGCUCAUGCACGAAAGCGUGGGGAGCAAACAGGAUUAGAUACCCUGGUAGUCCACGCCCUAAACGAUGUCAACUAGUUGUCGGGUCUUAAUUGACUUGGUAACGCAGCUAACGCGUGAAGUUGACCGCCUGGGGAGUACGGUCGCAAGAUUAAAACUUAAAGGAAAUUGACGG